GAGGGGCCAAUAUUGUUAAAAUUGAAACUUAACUUUAAUUAAUUAAAUAAAACACACCAAACACCCCACAAGGAGGUGUCUGGUCGUACAAGAAGAACAGGGGGGCGAUCCCCACACAAAAAAACCCUAAAUCUUCACCAAACUUGCAAAUUGAAGGCUCAAUCCAAGUCAAAAUCGAAAAUCAAGCAUAGAUUAUUGAUCCCCAUGGCAAGAGGGUUGUAAGUUUGACUCUUGACAAGCUAGAUGGAGGCUUGGGAAUGAAGCGGGUCAAACGGAGCAAGUACGAAAAGGAAAGCGUAAUUUGGAUGCGAGGUAAGUAAAACUUACACCUAAUUGUAGUAUACGUGUUUAUUUUAUAGGCGAUAAAUACAACAAAGGAUUUGGUUCGAAUUAUGGGUUCCAACACAAAACGAAUUGGGUUGGAACGAAUAGAAACUUUUUAAACCAUGAUUAAUGGUGAAAAAGGCAAAACGGUAAACUAGUCAUGAAUUGGUUAAUAGUUUAAGAGUUUUCUUAAAGUUACCUUAUAGCGUAACUAGUAAUGGAAAAUGAGUAAGAAUGGAAAUUUAGUCAAGUAUUGACUAAAGUAAAAUAAGUUUCAAAGGACACCCAUAGCAUAAGCCGAAUGGGUUAAAAAUAUAGGAAAUUGACUUUAGAAAGAAAGGGAUCUAGUGAGAAAAUCCGAAAUGGUUCGGAUGUGUGAUUGGUAAUUAAAAACCAUGUUUUUGUUACAUAUGAAAACGUUGGGUUAUAUAGACCGAACGGGUCAAAUGGUGGGAAUAACGUCAUUUGACAAAAUCAACUAAUGUGGUGGUCAAGUCAUGUGUUACAGGAGCGAAUAGUAAUUUGGAUAAUUGCGUCGCCAUAGAAUAUCGGUAAUAAAAGCAAGGUGUUGAAAUGGGUCACUAGGGUGACUCGAGCCAGGUACGUAUAAAUACGAUUGUGGUUAAACAUACAUUCUUUUUUUGGGUCAAAUAAGUAGCAAAUGCCCUUCGUCGUAAAUGAGGGGCUAAAGUUGACUAAAAUGCCCUUGUUGGGUAAACCGGGCAAACAACCUUUAAAAGUUGUUGGAAAUAAGUGUUUUGGAAGAAACGGUAGGUUAAACAGACGAGCGGUUUGAAAGAUACGAAAGUUUUCGUGUCAAAAACGGCAAAAAGGAAAGGAAUGAUGCAGGGGCCACCGUAACUUACGGUACCACCGUAAGUUACGGUGGACAUGAUUUGGUUACGGUAAAUGCCUACUGUUGUACGGUUGAAUAAUUGAAACACAGAGACCACCGUAACUUACGGUGCCACCGUAAGUUACGGUGGAGGUCAGAAAUGAGUUUUUAUUUUGGGUUUAAGAUAUCCAUGUGGGAUUUUCCUAAUUUCCCCGUUGUAUUACUUUAAUUAAUUAUCAAAACUGACCUUUAAGUUGGUUUUGAUCACAGGUGAAUGUCGAGGGUCCCGGAUGAAGAUCGAGCAUCGAGCAAGAACCGAACACACAUUAAAUAAAGCUUCCGCAACGUUGUUUUGUCGUUAUUCUAAACGGCGAUUUAAAUCACAUUAUGUAUAUCACUUAAAUUGUAAAAGUUUUUAACAAACCCGUAUUUCCGAUGUAUAUAUAAUCAUUAAUUACAUGAUUAUUUUCGCAAAAUA